rnacentral:lncRNA from 1 species
GGAAAGCUGACUCAGGAAAUGCUCCCUCUCAGCCUCUACCAAUUGUUUGGUUCUAGCCUCCAUCCUUAAAGCCUAUUCCCUUGCCUUAGCUUCCAUCUUUUUAUUCUCUUCUUGAAGGAGAACUCUUAAACUGUCCUUUAAACGGUCGUCAAAGCUCAUCCUCUGUGGUUUGGGUAAAUUGAAAUAUUGCCUUAGGGAAAU